rnacentral:rRNA from 1 species
GACGAACGCUGGCGGCGUGCUUAACACAUGCAAGUCGAACGGAAAAGCCCAGCUUUUGUGGGGUGCUCGAGUGGCGAACGGGUGAGUAAGACGUGAGGAACGUGCCCUGGACUUUGGGAUAACUUCAGGAAACUGGGGCUAAUAGCGGAUAGGAGCUCCUGCUGCAUGGUGUGGGUUGGAAAGUUUCGGCGGUUGGGGAUGGACUCGCGGCUUAUCAGCUUGUUGGUGGGGUAGUGGCUUACCAAGGCUUUGACGGGUAGCCGGCCUGAGAGGGUGACCGGCCACAUUGGGCCUGAGAUACGGCACAGACUCGUACGGGAGGCAGCAGUGGGGAAUAUUGCACAAUGGGCGGAAGCCUGAUGCAGCAACGCCGCGCGCGGGAUGACGGCAUUCGGGUUGUAACCCGCUUUCGCCUGUGACGAAGCGUGAGUGACGGUAAUGGGUAAAGAAGCACCGGCUAAAUACGUG